rnacentral:rRNA from 1 species
UACAGAGGUCUCAAGCGUUGUUCGGAUUCAUUGGGCGUAAAGGGUGUGUAGGUGGCGCCGUAAGUCGGGUGUGAAAUUUCGGAGCUUAACUCCGAAACUGCAUUCGAUACUGCGGUGCUUGAGGACUGGAGAGGAGACUGGAAUUCAUGGUGUAGCAGUGAAAUGCGUAGAGAUCAUGAGGAAGACCAGUGGCGAAGGCGGGUCUCUGGACAGUUCCUGACACUGAGCACGAAGGCCAGGGAGCAAACGGG